CCCCCUGACCAAUAAGCACAUAAAGAGAUGCUUAGUAUCAUUAGUAAUUAGGGAAAUGCAAAUUAACUUCACAAUGAGAUACCACUUCAUAGCUAUUAGGAUGAUUAUUAUUUUAAAAAAAUAAGGCGACAUCACAUGUUGGUGGGAUAUGGUGAAAUUGGACCCCUCCUGCACUGCUGGUAGGAAUGUAAAAUGGUGCCUUUACUAUGGAAAAGAGCAUGCUGGUUCUUAAACAAAAUUAAACAGAAUUACCAUAAGAUCCAGCAAUUCCAAUUCUUGGUAUAGACACAAAGAAUUGAAAGCAGGACUCAUAGAUAUUUUUGUACACCAAUAUUCAUAGAAACAUUAUUCCCCAUAGCCAAAAGAAGUGUGCUGGUGAGUUUCAGGGGCUGAAGGAGCUGGGAAGGGGGGUUGUUUAUUGGAUAUCCACUUUCAGUUUGCUUUGGUGAAGAAGUUCUGGAGGUGGUGGUGGUGAUAGCACAGCAGCCAUGUGGGGUGUACUUGUAUCCCUGCAUUACAUACUUAAAAUGGUUAAAGUGGUUAAUUUUAGGUUGUGUGUUUUUUCACCACACACAAGAAUUUUCUAUACUCUGCUUUUUUUGUUUGUUUGUUUGUUUGGGCCACACCAGUGGCACAUGGAGUGUCCCAGGCUAAGGGUCCAAUCGGAGCUACAGCUGCCAGCCUGUGCCAGAGCAACAGCAACGGAGGAUCUGAGCUGCGUCUGUGACCUACAUCGCAGCUCACGGCAACGCCAGAUCCUUAACCCACUGAGCGAGACCCGGGAUCAAACCCACAACCUCAUGGUUCCUAGGCAGAUUCGUUUCCCCUGCGCCAUGAUGGGAACUCCGAAUUUUCCAUACUCCGACACGUCCCAGCUGCCACCACCCAACCUUCUUGCAAAUGUUCCUCUUUCCUCUUGAGGACCUGGAGAUUCUGAAUUUCCCUCCAGUGAGAAAGUAUCGAGGAGAGGUCGAUGGAGGAUCUUGAGAAACAUAACCGAUCAGGUCCUCAGACAGCAACUGAGGAUCUUGAGAAAUGUAACAGAUCAGGUCCUCCCAAGAGUUGAAGUUAUGUCGGUUCUUACUGCUCAUUCUCUUAAAUGACUAGCUGGUUAAUAGAUCUGCCUUCAGAAUUGUCUGCUUUUGCAACUUCUGAAGACUAUGUAUAAAAUGUAUCAAAUUUCCAGUGCCGUUUGCUCACAUUUUGCCUUUAGAGGUCUUGCCAAUAGUCUGCCCACUAAUGCCAAAUAGAAAAGCGGAGACAGGGUUUAGGGGAAGGACAAAAAAAAAAAAAAAAAUAGCUUAAUUGUUUUGCCAGGCAAAGGAGGCCACAGCAGGCUAUAAUAAUGACUUAAAGGCUGUGCCCCCCGUGGGAGAGAUGAGGAGGGGGUUUAUAGUUUAGGAGUGAAAAUUAGGGCCACAGAUAAGGAUCGGGGUAGACAUAGGCUUUCACUCUUCUUCAGAGUUGGUGUUUAAUGGCCCCAGGACUGGUUCUGUCGGUCCUCCACACUGGCCUUCAGGUGUGGAGGGUUUUAGUUCUGCUGAAGAACUCAAGGUUAUCGUUAUGUGUAUUCCUUGACAAAGAACCGGGACACUGCUCCAAGACUACACUAUUGUUUCUGGACAGCUCCUCCCCUGUCUCUGCAUCCCCUCCCUUCCCUGAUGAGCAACUGUUUGAACUGCCUUUGGAACUCAGGGAAGGCCAGGGCGGCUGAAAGAGUCCCAUUUCCUACAGACAAGAAAUGCGGGACACAGAGGCUUUUGUGACCGUUUCAGCAGGUGUUUUUUGGAGAGUGGGAUUAAAAUGAUGCCAAAAUUCAGGCACAUCCCAGAAAUAUCGCCAGUUCCAUCCAGACCAGCACGAUAAGGCAAAUAGUGCACAAAAUCAAGUCAUAUGGAUUCUUUUGGUUUCCCAGCGCAUAUAAAAAUGGUAUUUACACUAUACAGUAGACUAUCAAGUGUGCAUUGUCUAGAAAAAUAAUAUGCAUACUUUAAUUUAAAAAUAUUUUUGCUGGAGUUCUCAUCGUGGCUCAGCAAAAGCGAAUACGACUGGUAUCCAUGAGGCUGUGGGUUCACUUCCUGGCCUCGCUCUGUGGGUCAGGGAUCCAGCUUUGCUGUGAGCCAUGAUGUAGGUCACAGAUGCAGCUCGGAACCUGCGCUGCUGUGGCUGUGGCGUGGGCUGGCAGCUAUAGCUCCAAUUUGACCCCUAGCCCGGGAACUUCCAUAUGCCAUGGGUGCAGCCCUAAAAAGCAAUAAAUAAAUAAAUAAAAAAUUUAAAUAUAUAAAAAUAAAAAUAUUUUAUUGCUAAAAAAUGCUCAUCAUCUAAGAGUUCCGCAAACUGCAAUCUUUUUGCAAGGGUAACAUUAAAGCUUACUGAUCUCAGAUCACCAUCACAAAUAUAAUAAUAACGAAAAAGUUUGAAAUAUUGCGAGAAUUAGCAAAAUGUGUCACAGAGACAGGAAGUGACCAGGUGCUGUUGGAAAAAUGGCACCAGUAGCUUUGCACAAUGCAGCGUUGCCACAGAGUUUCAAUUUUUUAAAAAUGCAGUAUUCACAAAGUGUAUUAAGUCAAAGCACAGUAAAACGGGGUCUGCCUAUAUGAGAAAGAAUAACGGUAAAUUAUGGAGAAUUUUAAUGUAUGGUUAGUUAGAAAAGUUUAAUAGAUCUAAAAAUGGAUAGCUUUGCUUAGCUACAUUUAGAAAUAUCAGCCUCCUCUUAACUCAUUUUGAAAGUUCUCAAAGCAUGUUUAUGGAUCUUUCUAUAGGAAAAGCAGCAUUUUUGCAAGCAAAUUUUUCUCCUUAAAAGAUUCAGAAUGUUGUGCUUAAAUUGAGCUUGAAAUCUAGCCUUGACUUAAAUAUGACCCCAAUGAGCAAUUGUAAGUACAUUUCAUUCCCUGGCACAAUAAGCAAAUCUUGGAAAGUUAGGGAGCUAACCAGAGCUCUUCAGGAAAGUGCCUCGAAAAUCCCCAGGAAUGGCCAGAACAGACUUAGCCCUUUUUGCUUUACCCCCCUUUUAAAAGCUCAUUUCCUUUCCAGCACUUACAGCAAAGUAGUCAUUACAGGCGUCAGAGAAGCUCUAUUUCAUACUUCGAAAUGGUGAACCUUCCCAUGUGGUUCUAGAUCCUAGCCAUCCUGUGGAUUUUAAUAGGAACAGAAAUUGCUCAUUUGGGCUGAACAGGUGGUGGCUGUAACACAAAGUCCUGGGAAACAGCUGGGGCAGCAAAGACAGGCUGGCUCCUUCUGUUCAAGUGGAUAAAGUGCAGACAGAUUGUCCGUUGCCACUGUCUUUCAGCUUCUAUUUGGAGUGAGGGUAUUGGGGCUGCUGUUGGUGGAAAGAGUGGAAUUAAGACACUUUGAAGUUAGUAAUAAGAAAAAGGGAUUGGGAAACCAGGCAGACGAACACACUAAAAAAAGACAAAGCCAUACAGAGGGUAUUGUCCCCUAAAUAAUCUGUUCUUUGAUGAAAAUAACCCAUUUGGUAUUCUUUAACCCUAAACUCUUACAACAGGCUAUAAGGUGGCUGCUAGUAUAAUGCCAAGUUCACCAAUAAGAACCUUAAGUCCCAGAGAAUGUACACAAUUUUCCCAAAGUCCCUGAGCUCCUCAGUGUCAGAGCUGGGACUUAAAUGCGAGGCUCCUGAUAUUUCAAAGCCACUGCACUUGACCACUAAAUUACAUCAUAGUCUAUAUCAAUGAAUGUUACUGUGCAGCAGAGCCCUAGCUCUUAUUGAGUGCUGCGAAGAUGGGAUGUUUGUAAGCUUAGUCUUUCCCGCUUUAGGAAGGACAAAGUGGUAUUUCCGGAGGAUAAAAAAAAAAAAGCCACACAAGCAAAAAUAGGAUUUUGAUACAGUGCUUCCUUUGAAGUCCUAAGUCCAGGGCCAAUUAAUUUUGGGGUUCACAGAGAUCACUAAGAUACAAAAUGCCCUGAGAAGGCUUGCAGUAAAAAGGUGUUUAAUGCAGGAAAAUAUUGCAUCACAACCCCCUCCAAAUCACAGUGGCUUACAACCAUUGCAUCUUUCUUACAAGUUUGCAGUUCGGUUGUGUUGACCAGAAACUGCAGGUCACAUACAGAUCUGGUGCAUAGAUUCAUACUUUGGGGACCCCCACUGAAAGAGCAGAGCUUACCUGGAGAAAGGUUUUGUUAUGAUGUGGUCAGAGAUGCAAGAAGCCAAGCCAAACUGCACUUCUGACUCCGAUUUAAAUUCUCUGCCUGGAAAGGGCGUGUCUCACGUUGACUCCCAUCCUAUUGGUCCAUGCCCAUCACAUCCCCAAGCCCAACCACAAUGGGGUGGAACCACAUCUCCCUCAGAGAGGAGAGAGAUAUAAGAUGUGUUUACUCAGCAUCAGCACAUUCUACCCUGAGCCCCGAUGCUCAGGUGCGGCACAAACUCAGCUGACCACACAACCCUUCUUUGUUUUCGCCCGAUCUCAAGAUGCUAUUGUUUCCCGAGUAUGAUUGUAGAUCGUUUGAGGAAAUUCAUGUCAUGAAGUCUCCUAUUUUAAAAUAGCAAGAAUAUGCUUUAAUCAAUAGAAAUGUGAGAAGUUCCCAUCGUGGCUCAGCGGUUAACGAAUCCGACUAGGAACCAUGAGGUUGUGGGUUCGAUCCCUGGCCCUGCUCAGUGGGUUAAGGAUCCGGCGUUGCCGUGAGCUGUGGUGUAGGUUGCAGACGCGGCUCGGAUCCCGAGUUGCUGUGGCUCUGGUGUAGGCCAGUGGCUACAGCUCCAAUUAGACCCCUAGCCUGGGAACCUCCAUAUGCCAUGGGAGCGGCCCUAGAAAAGGC
rnacentral:lncRNA from 1 species